rnacentral:rRNA from 1 species
CCGAAGUCGGUGAGGCAACCAUUUUGGAGCCAGCCGCCGAAGGUGGGGCAGAUGAUUGGGGUGAAGUCGUAACAAGGUAUCCCUACCGGAAGGUGGGGAUGGAUCACCUCCUUUCUAAGGAG